AACGUAGGAGACAAACGUUAUCCGGAGUUACUGGGCGUAAAGGGCGUGUAGGUGGUUGCGUAAGUCUGGCGUGAAAUAUCUCGGCUUAACCGAGGCAGGUCGUCGGAUACUGCGUAACUGGAGGACGGUAGAGGCGUGUGGAAUUCCGGGGUGUAGUGGUGAAAUGCGUAGAGAUCCGGAGGAACACCAGUGGCGAAGGCGACACGCUGGGCCGUACCUGACACUGAUGCGCGACAGCAUGGGGAGCAAACAGG
rnacentral:rRNA from 1 species